rnacentral:rRNA from 1 species
GGGUUGUGAGGUUAAGCGACUAAGCGUACACGGUGGAUGCCCUGGCAGUCAGAGGCGAUGAAGGACGUGCUAAUCUGCGAUAAGCGUCGGUAAGGUGAUAUGAACCGUUAUAACCGGCGAUUUCCGAAUGGGGAAACCCAGUGUGUUUCGACACACUAUCAUUAACUGAAUCCAUAGGUUAAUGAGGCGAACCGGGGGAACUGAAACAUCUAAGUACCCCGAGGAAAAGAAAUCAACCGAGAUUCCCCCAGUAGCGGCGAGCGAACGGGGAGGAGCCCAGAGCCUGAAUCAGUGAGUGUGUUAGUGGAAGCGUCUGGAAAGGCGCGCGAUACAGGGUGACAGCCCCGUACACAAAAAUGCACAUACUGUGAGCUCGAUGAGUAGGGCGGGACACGUGGUAUCCUGUCUGAAUAUGGGGGGACCAUCCUCCAAGGCUAAAUACUCCUGACUGACCGAUAGUGAACCAGUACCGUGAGGGAAAGGCGAAAAGAACCCCGGCGAGGGGAGUGAAAAAGAACCUGAAACCGUGUACGUACAAGCAGUGGGAGCCUCUUAAUGG